rnacentral:rRNA from 1 species
UACGGAGGGAGCUAGCGUUGUUCGGAUAUACUGGGCGUAAAGCGCACGUAGGCGGCGCCGUAAGUCAGGGGUGAAAUCCCGGAGCUCAACUCCGGAACUGCCCUUGAUACUGGGAAUCUCGAGUCCGGGAGAGGUGAGUGGAACUGCGAGUGUAGAGGUGAAAUUCGUAGAUAUUCGCAAGAACACCAGUGGCGAAGGCGGCUCACUGGCCCGGUACUGACGCUGAGGUGCGAAAGCGUGGGGAGCAAACAGG